rnacentral:tRNA from 1 species
AGACAAUUAACUCAACGGUAGAGUGUUUCGCUUACAACGAAAAAGUUAGUGGUUCGAAUCCACUAUUGUUUA